rnacentral:rRNA from 1 species
AAUUUAUGAUGAAGAGUUUGAUCCUGGCUCAGGACGAACGCUGGCGGCGUGGAUUAGGCAUGCAAGUCGAACGCGAAAGUAUUUCUUCGGAGAUACGAGUAGAGUGGCGGACGGGUGAGUAACGCGUA